UACGUAGGGUGCGAGCGUUAAUCGGAAUUACUGGGCGUAAAGCGUGCGCAGGCGGUUUUGUAAGCCAGAUGUGAAAUCCCCGGGCUUAACCUGGGAAUGGCAUUUGGGACUGCAAGGCUCGAGUGCGGCAGAGGGGGAUGGAAUUCCGCGUGUAGCAGUGAAAUGCGUAGAUAUGCGGAGGAACACCGAUGGCGAAGGCAAUCCCCUGGGCCUGCACUGACGCUCAUGCACGAAGGCGUGGGGAGCAAACAGG
rnacentral:rRNA from 1 species